rnacentral:misc_RNA from 1 species
CGACGAGUUCCAUGUAUAAACCCAGGCCUAAGUAUUACUCCUCCAUAUGUGAAUUUUGAUAACAGUUCCGCCUCAGCAGCUCUCUUCCCCUCAUAGUACCCUUGCAACAAAUAGUUUGCCAAACCAAAAUCAGCAGCCGAGAUGUACACAUAUCUUUUUACACCUUGUUCUGCGGCAACUCUGAUAGCAUUUAUGUUUGCCGUCCCAUUGAUUUUAUACAUCUGAGAAUUGGAUCCAAAACCCCCAACACAUGAUAUCACAGCAGUAACUCCAUCCAUUACAUCCUUCAGUGAAUCAGGUACAAGUAGGUUACCUUGGUGCCACACAACCUUGUCAGCCCAAGGUUCCUUUACAGAUGACCUUCCAGACCUGCUAAGACUAGAAACUGACAAGCCUUGCUCCAAAGCUUCUUUGCAAACAUGAGAACCAACAAAG